rnacentral:rRNA from 1 species
UUGCACGCUGGCGGCAGGCCUAACACAUGCAAGUCGAGCGGAUGAAGGGAGCUUGCUCCUGGAUUCAGCGGCGGACGGGUGAGUAAUGCCUCGGAAUCUGCCUGGUAGUGGGGGAUAACGUCCGGAAACGGGCGCUAAUACCGCAUACGUCCUGAGGGAGAAAGUGGGGGAUCUUCGGACCUCACGCUAUCAGAUGAGCCUAGGUCGGAUUAGCUAGUUGGUGGGGUAAAGGCCUACCAAGGCGACGAUCCGUAACUGGUCUGAGAGGAUGAUCAGUCACACUGGAACUGAGACACGGUCCAGACUCCUACGGGAGGCAGCAGUGGGGAAUAUUGGACAAUGGGCGAAAGCCUGAUCCAGCCAUGCCGCGUGUGUGAAGAAGGUCUUCGGAUUGUAAAGCACUUUAAGUUGGGAGGAAGGGCAGUAAGUUAAUACCUUGCUGUUUUGACGUUACCAACAGAAUAAGCACCGGCUAACUUCGUG